rnacentral:tRNA from 1 species
GAGGGGAUAGCUCAGUGGUAGAGUGCAUGCCUAGCAUGCGUGAGGUCCUGGGUUCAAUCCCCAGUCCCUCCA